UCCAGAAAAGGGGUGAAAAUUGAGCAUUGGCCUCUCAUUUUUAUCAUUUUGGAGCUAUAGAAGAAUGAGAGAGGACAGUUCCUAGAGUUUUUGAAAGUGCCUCCCUAAAGAACUUUGGAUUUGUGGGCAGGCAGGGAGGAGAUAGUCAAUAGUCAAGGAAUUUGAAAGUAUGCUUAUAUUUUUUGGGUACCUUGAUCAGAGUGCGAGAAUGAAUGGGAGAUAGAUGUUCAAGUUUUACAUGAGCAAGGGAGCUGCCAAAGUAGUGGCUGUCUAUGUGCUGAGGAAGGUACCAAUUGCAGGGACACUUUGCAUAUUGAAGCGUGCAUCAUGGGCAGGGAGCAAACACCAAUGUACUCUACUUUUGGACCAAACAAUUCUUGAUGAGGCAGUCAUGAGGUGAAUAGCCUGCACAGAUUGAUCGAGGCAGUGGUGCCAGGGAGUCUGUCGUAAGACCAAGCAAGCCACUCUCUUUGCAGAAUCUGGAAUAUUUUAUAGAAAUAGAAGAGUAACUAUAAUUGCAAGACUAUAUUUGGUAUUGUGUCCUUUACAUUAUUUGCUUCAUUCUAUCAGAGUUGGAGGAAGUUUUUCUUAGUUGAAUGUGUUGGAUUGCUGGUUUCCCAUUUGAUUUCAUUGUGAG
rnacentral:misc_RNA from 1 species